CUUGAGGCUGGAAAUAAAUGUGGCAUCAAUUCAACGAUAAAUGCAAGUUUGAAUGUGUAGUGUUUAGAAAGACACAAGAAGGCCACAACUGUGUUCACAGAUAUGCAGAUGAAGGCCACAACUGUGUUCACAGAUGUACAGACCGCCAGACGGAUAGUGCUAAAUGAUUAUUCCAAACAAACAGAUUACCUGAAGGACAGUGGAUGUACAGACAUACAGAUGACCUGAAGGACAGUGGAUGUACAGACAUACAGAUUACCUGAAGGACAGUGGAUGUACAGACAUACAGAUUACCUGAAGGACAGUGGAUGUACAGACAUACAGAUGACCUGAAGGACAGUGGAUGUACAGACAUACAGAUUACCUGAAGGACAGUGGAUGUACAGACAUACAGAUGACCUGAAGAACAGUGGACGUACAGACAUACAGAUUACCUAAGGACAGUGGAUGUACAGACAUACAGAUUACCUGAAGGACAGUGGAUUUACAGACAUACAGAUUACCUGAAGGACAGUGGAUGUACAGACAUACAGAUUACCUGAAGGACAGUGGAUGUACAGACAUACAGAUUACCUGAAGGACAGUGGAUGUACAGACAUACAGAUUACCUGAAGGACAGUGGAUGUACAGACAUACAGAUUACCUGAAGGACAGUGGAUGUACAGACAUACAGAUUACCUGAAGGACAGUGGAUGUACAGACAUACAGAUUACCUCAAGGACAUUGGAUGUACAGACAUACAGAUUACCUGAAGGACAGUGGAUGUACAGACAUACAGAUUACCUCAAGGACAGUGUUAAAUCAGUUUUUCCCAGAAAAGUCUUUGCAAGUGAAUAAUUAAUCUGCGUUCUGGAAAAACUGGGCGUGAUGCAUGUUUUUUUUUUGCUUUUAUGGAAUUUACGUUUUACCCUUUGGAUAUGUAUUUUGAUGCAUUUGUUGUUACUUAGAAAGUCAAAUUUAAUUAAAGACUUCUUACUAUA